rnacentral:rRNA from 1 species
CAAUAGCAUAUAUUAAAGUUGUUGCAGUUAAAAAGCUCGUAGUUGGAUUUCUGGGAGGGUGCCGCCGUCCGGCGUGUCCGUGUGCAGUGGCGCCCUUCCAUCCUUCUGUUAGCGUCUCUUGGCAUUCAUUUGCUGGUGGCGGGCUCAGAUAUUUUACCUUGAGAAAAUUAGAGUGUUUCAGGCAGGCUAGGCCGGAAUACAUUAGCAUGGAAUAAUGGAAUAGGACUACGGUCUCUUUGUUGGUUUGAGGGACUGCAGUAAUGAUUAAUAGGGAUAGUUGGGGGCAUUAGUAUUUAAUUGUCAGAGGUGGAAUUCUCAGAUUUGUUAAAGACUAACUUAUGCGAAAGCAUUUGCCAAGGAUGUUUUCAUUAA